rnacentral:tRNA from 1 species
GCCCGGUUAGCUCAGCUGGUAGAGCGUUGGACUUUUAAUCCAAAGGCCAAGGUUUCAAGUCCCUUAUCGAGGA